UGGACUCGUUUUAUAUUAUGCAUGUUUGCUGCACUCUGCUGCUGUUCUUGUGUUCUCCAUGCUUGUGUAUAUGUAGGCAAGUGGGUGUGUUUAUGGGUGUGGCUGAGCACUGAUGAUCAGGCAGGCCUGGUGGGUGUGUCCCGUCUGGAGGCUGGCCACACCUGAUGCGGAUGAGCACACACACCUGCAGCUAAUGAAGCCUCGUCGGGGAGGCUUGAGAGUGUGGCUGUGCGCUCCGCGGCGUGGGAUUAUUGCGCGAGACUUCACGAGGAGCGUGGGACGAAAGACAGCAGUGAGCACGGGGAGUGCAGAGACACAGGAGCAGAAAGCACUAAAGAAGGACUUUUUUGGGAAGAGGACAGCACGGGAGUCGAGGGAACUCACAGGGAUUUAUUGGGCCACCGUACUCACCGGCCCGGGCAGCCGGUAGAUUCACAGCCUGCCACGCCGGCCCUGUCGUCUACACGGAAAUAACGUUCACGCCGCCGACGUACUUUACUGCAGCUGGAUUCCCGGACCUCUGAACAGCCGGCUGUUGUGAGUAACAAAGACAAUUUGUCUUCAUCAAUUACUUCAGUGAACUUUGAAAAUGUUAACUCCGAGGAGGGGAGUGAUGUGAACUGUUGUUCUGGUGUUCAUUCUGAGCUUAGAAGUUUUUAUGCCAGAACCCGGUAACUCAAGAGUAGUGAACACUGAUACAAUUAACUCUGAGGCUGUGACUUUUGAAAAUGUUGACCCUGUGCUGGUGUGCUCUGAGUCAGUAGUUUCUGAGUUAGGCAGCACAGAGUGCGAAGGGCACGCUGAGCCAAGUGACUUUCUGGCCCACUCAGGUCGUUCGGGGACG
ensembl:lncRNA